AGCGAACGCUGGCGGCAGGCCUAACACAUGCAAGUCGAACGAAGUCUUCGGACUUAGUGGCGGACGGGUGAGUAACACGUGGGAACGUGCCUUUAGGUUCGGAAUAACUCAGGGAAACUUGUGCUAAUACCGAAUGUGCCCUUCGGGGGAAAGAUUUAUCGCCUUUAGAGCGGCCCGCGUCUGAUUAGCUGGUUGGGGAGGUAAAGGCUCACCAAGGCUACGGUCAGUAGCUGGUCUGAGAGGAUGACCAGCCACAUUGGGACUGAGACACGGCCCAAACUCCUACGGGAGGCAGCAGUGGGGAAUCUUGCGCAAUGGGCGAAAGCCUGACGCAGCCAUGCCGCGUGGAUGAUGAAGGUCUUAGGAUUGUAAAAUCCUUUCACCGGUGAAGAUAAUGACUGUAGCCGGAGAAGAAGCCCCGGCUAACUUCGUGCCAGCCGCCGCAGUAAAAC
rnacentral:rRNA from 1 species